AGAUUGAACGCUGGCGGCAGGCCUAACACAUGCAAGUCGAGCGGCAGCACGGGUACUUGUACCUGGUGGCGAGCGGCGGACGGGUGAGUAAUGCCUAGGAAUCUGCCUGGUAGUGGGGGAUAACGCUCGGAAACGGACGCUAAUACCGCAUACGUCCUACGGGAGAAAGCAGGGGACCUUCGGGCCUUGCGCUAUCAGAUGAGCCUAGGUCGGAUUAGCUAGUUGGUGAGGUAAUGGCUCACCGAAGGCGACGAUACCGUAACCGGUCUGAGAGGAUGAUCAGUCACACGUAGGAACUGAGACACGGUCCAGACCUACCGUACGGGAGUCAGCGAGGUGGGAAUA
rnacentral:rRNA from 1 species